CGAAUUCGGGAGCUCGUAGCUAAGUCUUGUCUCUGUGCACCAGACCUACUCGUCUGUUAACACACCUCCAGGGAUAGUGACCCCAGUGCCUCCAUGGGCAGCCCGUGCCAACGCUUUGCAGCCCUCCGUGUGGAAAAAGUUUUACUACUGUCCUGUCUGACUCUCCCCAGGCACAAUGUGAGGCCGUAACCUUAAAAAAAAAAAAAAGAUUCCCUUGGGGAAGGGGAAGCCGUGCACCUCCUUUGGAGCACUUUCUCGCAGGCCGUGCUGUGAGAAGAACCGCAGUGCAGUGCGGAGGUUUCAGAGAUGUGCCCGGAGCAGAAGUUUGUACAGCUGCCAGCCCUUCCUGGUGGGUUUCCAGGCAGGAGCAAAGAAAUGGCUGCUGAGAUACAUUACGUGGAAUGGGAACCUGGACUACCUCCUGCACAAAGCUGCUGAGGAAAAGCAUACGACUUAGAGACUUCUGAGUUUCCAUGUGGCACUUUGUGAAAUUUCUGGAGCUGGAAGUCAAACACCAGUGCCAACUCUGCAGCCACAGGGCGCUCCCAGGAUGGUCUGACAGUUUCUUUGUUCCAUUCACAACGUUGGAAUUAUGGGAUUUGUGUGGGAAGAACUGACUUGAUGGAGGAAGUGAAAAUUAACUCCAGAUUGUCUGGACAUCCAGAAGCCCUGAGGAUUUCAGGAGUUCCAAAGGCUGAGGAUGUUUGUAGACUAAACAACUGCGGCUCAUUUGCAUCAAAUGAGAAAAGUAGUUUUCCUCCUUCAGAGUAACAGGUAAACAAUAAAGCAAUUUAAGCAAUACCAUAGUAACAGUAUUUGGAGACAAAAACUGGUUAAAACUUCAAUGUUUGUCAUAUAGCUGUGUGAACUUGUUAAUAAAACAUCUCUGCAUAUAUCCCCCCCACCCCAGUAAAACACCACAUAACUUCUGUCAUGAGAAAGCAUAAAAACAGCAGUUCUGCAUCUGCUCUCAGGAACAAGAAGGAUGCCAGUAUAUUCAGAUUACUGAAUUAACUUUUGAAAUUGAAGUUCUGUACUAAGCAGAAGAGAUCUAACCCUUACUUAGAAAAAGAGAAUUGUUUUCCUGUCACAUCUCUGAAAAACGAAACCCACCCCCACUAUUUAUCCUUUCAGCAUUUCUUUUUGGAUU